rnacentral:misc_RNA from 1 species
GAUGAAGAACGCAGCGAAAUGCGAUAACUAGUGUGAAUUGCAGAAUUCAGUGAAUCAUCGAAUCUUUGAACGCACAUUGCGCCCUUUGGUAUUCCUUAGGGCAUGCCUGUUCGAGCGUCAUUUAAACCUUCAAGCUAAGCUUGGUGUUGGGUGACUGUCCGCUUCACUGCGGACUCGCCUCAAAAUUAUUGGCGGCCGGUACAUUGGCUUCGAGCGCAGCAGAAACGCGAACUCGGGCCCGUCGUAUUGGCUCCCAGAAGCUAUCUUCACAAUUUUGACCUCGGAUCAGGUAGGGAUACCCGCUGAACUUAAGCAUAUCAAUAAGCGGAGGA